CAUUACACACUGUUGGAGAGAUUUAUAAAGAAUGAAGUUGUGUUUAUGAAUUAUAUAGACUGCAAGUGUUUAAAAAAUGAAAAUAUCGACGGCUCUUGUCUCCGUGAAUACAGUAAGCAACGAUGGUAGUUUAACCACAUUUAGCAGUACAUUAGCAACAUGCUAACGAAACAUUUAGAAAGACAAUUUACAAAUAUCACUAAAAAUAUCAUGAUAUCAUGGAUCAUGACAGUUAUUAUCGCUCCAUCUGCCAUUUUUCGCUAUUGU